rnacentral:rRNA from 1 species
AUUGAACGCUGGCGGCAUGCCUAACACAUGCAAGACGAACGGAAACGAUGCUAGCUUGCUAGCAGGCGUCGAGUGGCGGACGGGUGAGUAAUGCAUAGGAAUCUACCUAGUAGCGGGGGACAACCCGGAGAAAUCCGGAUUAACACCGCAUAAUCUCUACGGAGGAAAAGGGGCCUCUCCUUGGAAGCUCUUGCUAUUAGAUGAGCCCGCUGUAGAUUAGCUAGUUGGCGGGGUAAAAGCCCACCAAGGCGACGAUCUAUAGCUGGUUUGAGAGAACGAUCAGCCACACUGGGACUGAGACACGGCACAGACUCCUACGGGAUGCAGCAGUAGGGAAUAUUGCACAAUGGGCGCAAGCCUGAUGCAGCAAUGCCGCGUGUGUGAAGAAGGCCUGCGGGUUGUAAAGCACUUUCAAUAGUGAAGAAAAGUUGGUGGUUAAUACCCAUCGACCUUGACGUUACCAAUAGAAGAAACACCGGCUAACUCUGUGCCAGCAGCCGCGGUAAUACAGAGGGUGCGAGCGUUAAUCGGAAUUACUGGGGGUAAAGAGUACGUAGGUGGUUCGUUAAGUCAGAUGUGAAAGCCCAGGGCUCAACCUUGGAACUGCAUUUGAUACUGGCGAACUAGAGUAUGGUAGAGGGGGGUAGAAUUCAUAGUGUAGCGGUGAAAUGCGUAGAUAUUAUGAGGAAUACCAGUGGCGAAGGCGGCCCCCUGGACCAAUACUGACACUGAGGUACGAAAGCGUGGGUAGCGAACAGGAUUAGAUACCCUGGUAGUCCACGCCGUAAACGAUGUCAACUAGCCGUUGGGACCUUGAGGUCUCAGCGGUGCAGCUAACGCGUGAAGUUGACCGCCUGGGGAGUACGGCCGCAAGGCUAAAACUCAAAUGAAUUGACGGGGGCCCGCACAAGCGGUGGAGCAUGUGGUUUAAUUCGAUGCAACGCGAAGAACCUUACCUACCCUUGACAUUGACAGAAUCCACUAGAGAUAGAGGAGUGCCUUCGGGCCUGGAAAACAGGUGCUGCAUGGCUGUCGUCAGCUCGUGUCGUGAGAUGUUGGGUUAAGUCCCGCAACGAGCGCAACCCCUAUUGUCAGUUACCAGCGCGUUAUGGCGGGAACUUUAAGGAGACUGCCGGUGAUAAACCGGAGGAAGGUGGGGACGACGUCAAGUCAUCAUGGCCCUUAUGGGUAGGGCUACACACGUGCUACAAUGGCCGGUACAGAGGGCUGCAAACUUGCGAGAGUAAGCUAAUUCCUUAAAGCCGGUCCUAGUCCGGAUUGGAGUCUGCAAUUCGACUCCGUGAAGUCGGAAUCGCUAGUAAUCGCGUAUCAGAAUGGCGCGGUGAAUCCGUUCCCGGGCCUUGUACACACCGCCCGUCACACCAUGGGAGUGGGUUGCAAAAGAAGUGGGUAGGCUAACCUUCGGGAGGCCGCUCUCCGCUUUGUGAUUCAUGACUGGGGUG